rnacentral:tRNA from 1 species
GCCGGGGUGGCGAAAUUGGCAGACGCGCCGGACUCAAAAUCCGGUUCCCGCAAGGGAGUGGGGGUUCAAGUCCCUUCCCCGGCACCA